ACGUAGGGGGCAAGCGUUGUCCGGAAUGAUUGGGCGUAAAGGGCGCGUAGGCGGCUCGGUAAGUCUGGAGUGAAAUUCCUGCUUUCAAGGUGGGAACUGCUUUGGAUACUGUCGGGCUUGAGUGCAGGAGAGGUAAGUGGAAUUCCCGGUGGAGCGGUGAAUUGCGUAGAGAUGGGGAUGAACACCAGUGGUGAAGGCGACUUACUGGUUUGUAACUGAGGCUGAGGCGCUAAAGUGUGGUGAGCAGUCUG
rnacentral:rRNA from 1 species